UGAAGCUUUGUAGCACACUUCCCUUAAGCAGCUUCAGAGGCAAGAGGAACUGGUUGAAAAUGCAUAAAUGAUGACAAGUCAAACCACUCAGUCCUCUCUGUGCAGCAAACUUAAUUUGAAACAACCAGCUUUCAUGGCCCCUGAGUCUCUGUCCUUGGACUGCAGGGUGUGCCACACCAAUGCCACUCUGCCAGGAGCUGCACCAAGACCCAGCAAACAGUGCACAACCCAAAGGUGGUUGCAACAUGUUGGCCUGUUUAUCCAGAAGUGAUCCCAAAGUAGCAAUCAGACGGCACAAAGGGGCACAUCCACCCACUCCACGUCCACAGCCCAGUUCAGCCCAGUCCAGUUCAGCCCAGCUGCCCCCCAAAUUCUCCACAGUUCUACUGCCCACCCCAUCAUGAGCACAAAACCCAGCACAGCAGCCUUUCACCUUUCAAAACCUGGAAAAAAUCCUGAAACUCACUCAAGUAUCAAACAAGUGCAAAGGAAAAAGCUCUGAGACACAGAAGUGUUUCCCACCAGAUGCCAUUUUGUCCUCCAGCAAGAAGGUUUCACAACAGAAGUGAUGGAGGAGCACGACUCUGAAGCAGCCCAGCUUCCCCUGAGCCAGGAGAUGCCUCCCAGCUUCCAUGCAUCAGCACUUGGUCAGAGCCUGAGCAGCUCAGACAAAGCAGCCAUUCCCAAAAACAUCGUCCCAGAACCAACGUGUCCCACCCCAGUGCCCGGCACAGGCAGAUCCCGGCGCGUCACUCACCUGCUCCUGCGAAUUCAUCACCCGCAGCUUCAUCUGCUUCAGAGUCCCCCAAACCUGAGGAAGAUACCGAGUCUUGCUGAAGCCUCAGAAGCAUUUCCAUGCACAUGGGAUUUAUGCAGGGGGUGAUGAACAAGGAUCUAUUUGCAGCUUGCUUCAGCAUUGCAAAGUCUUGCCAAUUUUGCUGGGAUUCCCUCAGGCUCAUGCAGUGGGUUUGUCCAGGAGGAAAGCUGCCAUUGUCCACAGGGAUGGCUGAUGGCUACAAGCAAGAUUUCUUUGCCCUCAGCACAGGCAGAUGCAAGUUUGGAGAGUGAAUCCAGCCUUCCAGCACAUGCUGAAGGGAUGUGUGGUAUCCACUGGACAGGGGUUUAAACAGCAGUGGGGGAAGAAGGAUUCCCAAGAGCUGAAGGUGAACUGAUGGUGGGAGCUUUCCAUUCCUAGUUCUGAAUCUCCCUGGCUGGCUUCUAUUUUCUGGGGUCACUGUUUUCACAGGCAUGUGUGACAGAGCCCCUUGAAAAGAAGCCUUCACAAAAUGUUUCACAGCACCUCAGAAAAGCCAUCAACCCAAUCCUAAUGGGCCUGCUUCUCAGAAAUGCUGAGUGUCAAAAAGUCCUGUGAAAAUCAGCAGACCUGAAAGAUGCUCCACACCUCUGGAAACACCACAUCUAUCAUGUCUGAUUAAGAAAUAAAGA